AUUGAACGCUGGCGGCGUGCCUAACACAUGCAAGUCGAGCGGUAACAGGUGUAGGCAAUACAUGCUGACGAGCGGCGGACGGGUGAGUAACGCUUGGGAAUCUGCCUGUUAGGUGGGGGACAACCCGGGGAAACUCGGGCUAAUACCGCAUACGCACUACGGUGGAAAGGCCGGGGACCGCAAGGCCUGGCGCUAACAGAUGAGCCCAAGUCGGAUUAGCUAGUUGGUAGGGUAACGGCCACCAAGGCGACGAUCCGUAACUGGUCUGAGAGGACGACCAGUCACACCGGAACUGAGACACGGUCCGGACUCCUACGGGAGGCAGCAGUGGGGAAUAUUGGACGAAUGGGCGAAAGCCUGAUCCAGCGACGCCGCGUGGGUGAAGAAGGCCUGCGGGUUGUAAAG
rnacentral:rRNA from 1 species